UAUAGUUAUGAACAGGGAGUUGGUUGGAGUGUUUUGAAGUAUGAUAUUUGAUACUUGUGAUGAAGAAGUAUAACUGCCUCAGGUCUAAGAUCUGUGAUUCAGAAUAAAGUUUGUCAGAAGGAUAUCUGAGGUUUUUAGAGUAUAUCAGCCUUAUGAAUCUCCUCUGUAUCACUUCUAAUUGGUUUAUGUGCGUCCUCAAAGCUCCACCCCAUGCUAGAAUCCCGUAGCGUAGAUGGCUUUCUACUAAUGCAUGGUAUAACAUUCUCAUCAGGCCCACAGGUAGUAUGACAAAUUUUUCAGUGGUGCUUUCUAUUUUCAAUUCUUGGAAAUCGGGAAGUCCAGGUGAGCUGCAGCUAAACG